ACGAGAAAGUGGAGCAAUCCAUGAGUAAAGUGGCGACCGGGUGAGUAACACGUGACUAACCUACCUCCGAGUGGGGAAUAACUCCGGGAAACCGGGGCUAAUACCGCAUAACAUCGCAAGAUCAAAGCAGCAAUGCGCUUGGAGAGGGGGUCGCGGCUGAUUAGCUCGUUGGCGGGGUAACGGCCCACCAAGGCGAAGAUCGGUAUCCGGCCUGAGAGGGCGCACGGACACACUGGAACUGAAACACGGUCCAGACUCCUACGGGAGGCAGCAGUGGGGAAUUUUGCGCAAUGGGGGAAACCCUGACGCAGCAACGCCGCGUGGAGGAUGAAGCCCUUUGGGGCGUAAACUCCUUUCGACUCGGACGAUAAUGACGGUACGAGUGGAAGAAGCACCGGCUAACUCUGUGCCAGCAGCCGCGGUAAUACAGAGGGUGCGAGCGUUGUUCGGAAUUAUUGGGCGUAAAGGGCGCGUAGGCGGUGCGGUAAGUCACCUGUGAAAUCUCCUGGCUUAACUGGGAGCCUG
rnacentral:rRNA from 1 species